AGCGGCGAGUGAGCGGCAAGAGCUCAAGUUUAGAAUCUGUGAUCGCUUCGGUCACCGAAUUGUAAUCUAAAGGGGCUAUCAAAAGGGGAAGUCGAGGUAUAAGUUCCUUGGAAAAGGACGUCAAAGAGGGUGAAAACCCCGUAUGCAGCCUCUGCUGAACCGAAUGAUGACCUUCUGAGAGUCGGGUUGUUUGGGAUUGCAGCCCUAAAUGGGAGAUAAACUUCUUCUAAGGCUAAAUAUCUAUGGGAAACCGAUAGCGAACAAGUACUGUGAAGGAAAGGUGAAAAGAACUUUGAAAAGAGGGUUAAAAGACUUGAAAUCGUUGAGAAGGAAGCGGUAAAAGUGGAUUUAAAUUAGUCGUGAAGUAAAUCAUGUAAGGAACUGGCUCACUAACGGUGAUGUACGUCAUUGGCUAGCCGUGGUGAAGUAACAGCACUUUAUGGUGGUUUCACGAUUAAAGGACAGAACCAGGUCUUACUUGUUGUAAUCAGUCAGGAGAAAGCCCACGGUUUACCGUGAAUCUCUUGAUAAUUUAACUUCAAUUCGGCCUGAGGAUAGGUUCUGUCACAACGGCUUUUACUGAC
rnacentral:rRNA from 1 species